rnacentral:lncRNA from 1 species
GUGAAAAGGAGCAACACAGAGUGUCAAGUGAUGUACUUACCUCACACCAGACCAACUGAUAAUUGCUUGGCAAGAAUCAGUUAUCAGUAAAAACAUGAUUCUCAUCUUCUCCGGAUAAGACGCUGUUAGUAAUUUGAGCUAAUCAGUUACGGAGUUGGUUGACUCUUUUAUAAACAUAGUCUUUGAGACUCUUGUCUUUCUUCCUUUCUAAACUGCAUCAGACUGCUUAUUCUGUUCCAUGAAACAGAGCUUUCUCUCUUCUUUGAUUUUUAUUAUUAUUUAUAACUCUUUAUCUCAACGUGCAUGCUUUAGUAUAAUGGCCAUUCUGAAAGCACUUACUUGUAUUAAGUCUAAAACAUUAAACAUGGUUUUAGCAAAAAGAAAAAAAAAACAUUAAACAUGGUUUUCUGGCAAAUCAUCAUACACAAGUUCUGACAGAUUUUAAAUCUUGAAUAAGUGGUAAUUAGUGCAGAACAAAAAAAGAAGCUAAUUAAUGGUUCAUAAGAAAUCAUUGAUAAUUGUUAUUAAAAUAAAAAAUAGGAUCUUGUCUGAGAUGGAAAUGAGAGAAUGCUAAUAAAAUAAAUAAUAUUCAAGGAGAAAAAGCCCAAACACACCGCACAGACUGACCAAUACAGUCCACUAUCUUUUUUUUUUUCCCGUCAAUUUUAAUUAAAAAUAAACAGGCCGAGGCCCAACAUUUCCCGUCAAUUACAAAGCUUAAAGCCCACAUAAAAAGGCAAAAAAUACAACAAAAGGCCUAAGGCCCAAACAGCUGGAACCGAACCACCUGCUUGCGACCCAAAACCGAAAGGGGUCGGACACGUGCGCAUCUACGCGAUCUCACCCUGUCCACCGCAACUUGAUCGACGCCGCUUCGAAAGCGGCCACACUGUAACCGACGUUUCACCGGAGCUUGUAAUACCGCCGAGCCUCCAUAGAAAACAACUCAACGAACUCAUUCCGAGCCCCCAUGCACCCUCCCCAAAAGAGAUGGGAUGUAAGUUAGUUGUCUCAUCUUGUGCUGUUUGAUCCAAAGGAAGGAAAAGCUAACGUUGUAUGGUGUUGUGUUUUUUUCAGAAGGGUUUUAUACCAAAAGCUGGUGCCUUCCUUCCUUUUGGUGCUGGAAGCCAUCUAUGCCCAGGAAAUGAUCUCGCUAAGCUCGAGAUUUCUAUUUUCCUUCACCAUUUUCUCCUCAAAUAUCGGUAAGUCUUGCAGAGUUUUAGAAAAAAAUGUAAUCUCUUUCUGUGUUAUGUUGAAAAAUAUUCAUGGAGAUUCAUAUAGCGCAGGGUGAAAAGGAGCAACACAGAGUGUCAAGUGAUGUACUUACCUCACACCAGACCAACUGAUAAUUGCUUGGCAAGAAUCAGUUAUCAGUAAAAACAUGAUUCUCAUCUUCUCCGGAUAAGACGCUGUUAGUAAUUUGAGCUAAUCAGUUACGGAGUUGGUUGACUCUUUUAUAAACAUAGUCUUUGAGACUCUUGUCUUUCUUCCUUUCUAAACUGCAUCAGACUGCUUAUUCUGUUCCAUGAAACAGAGCUUUCUCUCUUCUUUGAUUUUUAUUAUUAUUUAUAACUCUUUAUCUCAACGUGCAUGCUUUAGUAUAAUGGCCAUUCUGAAA